rnacentral:rRNA from 1 species
UACAGAGACUGCAAGCGUUAUUCGGAUUCACUGGGCGUAAAGGGUGCGCAGGCGGCCAAGUGUGUGAGGCGUGAAAGCCCGGGGCUUAACCCCGGAAUUGCACCUCAAACUACAUGGCUAGAGCAUUGGAGAGGGUAGCAGAAUUCAUGGUGUAGCAGUGAAAUGCGUAGAUAUCAUGAGGAAUACCAGAGGCGAAGGCGGCUCACUGGGGGUUUUCUGACGCUGAGGAACGAAAGCCAGGGGAGCGAACGGG